CCCUAGCCCCGAUUGCAGCGUAAAUCCUUUUGUUUUUAGGAUUGCCCGCAGCGCAGGGCAGGGAAAUCCUAAAACAAAAGAUUGCAGCGGAAAUCGGGAAAUGGC
rnacentral:sRNA from 1 species